GCGCCAUGGGUAAAUCCAAAGUAAUUGCCAGUAGCCAUUUUGGCAUCUUCACCAAGCCGGCUGGGCACUGCGGAGGACAGACAUACAGGGUUGGAACCGACAUGCCACGUUCAACGAGUCCAGAAGGCUGAGCCCUUUGUCCGGCUGCUGGGAGGCGAGGAGCUUCCAGACGGACUCUCCGGGAGCUGGUGGACGAGAUGCCGGCUCAUGUCUCCUGUCCUCAGACUCCAGAGAACAUCCAUUCAUGCUGCUGAGGUCCAACGGUUGUGGAGACGUCCUCCUCCAUGUUGUCUGUUCAUUGGUUUUGUUUCAAUGUUCUCCAUCCAGUUAGGAGUUUGGUAUAAAAGCAUAAUUUCAUAUAG